GUGGCAUCUUGUUAAUUAAUGGAUGAUGAUGUGACAUCUUGUUAGUGCAUGAUGAUGUGACAUCUUUACAUGUUAAGCUUAAGAAGUUAGUGGGAGAUAACUUUAUAGUAAGAUAGGAUUAGUAGUACCCAUGUUUUUUAGUCCAUAUGUUCUGGUAUUGAUGUGGUGAUGCUAUAACUAGAAAGGUUUAUGUGUGAUACAAUUACUAAAAUGUUAACCAUAGAAGCAAUACAAAGGUUGUGCACUAUGCAUUAAUUGGUACUUUGUAUUUUGUUGUUUGCGGAUGCAGCAAAAAUAUAUUAGAGUACAAAGGGUAAUUUGUCUUGCCAUAAGAAUAGAAUUGAUUUCCCUAUCUUAACAGGAGAGAAUUGAAGUACAUAGUCUCUUCUAGUUAAUUGCUUUCAGUGUCGUCUGGGAUUACAAGCAGUCGAUGCCCGAUGCCACAAGUGUUAGCAUUAUAUUAUUGCAGAAAAAACAAGGUUGGUAUGCUGCACGUCUUCAAGAUGUUUCGUCGAUUCUCACUUUCUACCACAGAUCUAUUGCGCCAUUUAUAAACAUGGUGAAAGAGAUGUAUCUCUGAAAGAUAAUCAAUUUAUUAGCAAUUUCAGUGUUAGGAUAAUAAAUUCAUUAGCAAUUUCAGCGUUAGGAUGUUUUUCUUUUGCCAGCAGCGCAAGAGAAAACAACAAAACAAUUUCAAUGUUAUGCAUUUGUGUAUUCGACAGAAGGCUCA